AACGCACGAGACCUGCGGACCUGCGGAAGGAUCAUUACAGUGCUCGUCGGUACGUCGCGCCUCCGGGCGUCGGCGCAUCGCACCUGCCCCACCCGUGUCUACCUUUCUUCUGUUGCUUUGGCGGGCCCGGCCCCCGAGCGUACCCACGCGCUGGGUGCGUCCGGCGGCGGACCGGGGGUUUUGCCCCUGGCCAGCGCCCGUCAGAGGACCCUUUGAACCCUUUGUGAAUAUACGGCAGUC
rnacentral:misc_RNA from 1 species